rnacentral:rRNA from 1 species
UACGUAGGGGGCGAGCGUUGUCCGGAUUUAUUGGGCGUAAAGAGCUCGUAGGCGGUUUGGCAAGUCGGGUGUGAAAACUCCGGGCUCAACUCGGAGACGCCACUCGAUACUGCCAUGACUCGAGUCCGGUAGGGGAGUGCGGAAUUCCUGGUGUAGCGGUGAAAUGCGCAGAUAUCAGGAGGGACACCGGUGGCGAAGGCGGCACUCUGGGCCGGUACUGACGCUGAGGAGCGAAAGCGUGGGGAGCGAACAGG